rnacentral:rRNA from 1 species
CCUACGGUGUGCUGCAGUGGGGAAUAUUGGACAAUGGGCGAAAGCCUGAUCCAGCCAUGCCGCGUGUGUGAAGAAGGCCUUCGGGUUGUAAAGCACUUUCAGUGGGGAAGAAAGCCUUGGGGCUAAUACCCUCGAGGAAGGACAUCACCCACAGAAGAAGCACCGGCUAACUCCGUGCCAGCAGCCGCGGUAAUACGGAGGGUGCGAGCGUUAAUCGGAAUUACUGGGCGUAAAGCGCGCGUAGGCGGUCUGAUAAGCCGGUUGUGAAAGCCCCGGGCUCAACCUGGGAACGGCAUCCGGAACUGUCAGGCUAGAGUGUAGGAGAGGAAGGUAGAAUUCCCGGUGUAGCGGUGAAAUGCGUAGAGAUCGGGAGGAAUACCAGUGGCGAAGGCGGCCUUCUGGACUGACACUGACGCUGAGGUGCGAAAGCGUGGGUAGCAAACAGGAUUAGAUACCCGAGUAGUC